CCCACUCCACACCACCCCCAGAAGACCAGAUUCAGUUGGUCUGAUGAACACUAGGAAUCCACCUUUGUAACAAGCUCCCAGUGAUCCCAAGGCAGGAGAAGCCCUGGGGAAGAAAUGGCUGAUGAGGACGAAGGAGCAGAGAGGUGGAGCCGAUGAUGAGGACCUCUUCCUCACCUUUCUCCAGAGUGAGUGCACUAAAACUGAGUCCUGAAAGAGGAGAGACAAGCACAUCUUCCUAGGACUAACAUUGGAAGAAGGAUGGCAGAGAGAACAGAAGAGGUGAAUCCUCCGGACUCCAUUGAAGGGCAGAUUUAGUGAUUCCAGGCACCCCCUCUAUCACAGCUGGAAUAGUAGGGCUCAUUAAUUGGUCUGCAUGAAGAUGGUUCUUUCCUUACAGAGAUUUAUCCUGACUCAUAUGCCCCUCACGGCUGCUGUCCUCCCGUGAGAUGACUUAUUUUACUCUACCCAGUUCCCUAGGUCCUGCCAGAUUUUAUUCUCCAAAGAUAGUAUGAUAUUCCUCAUACCAUGUGCUCUUUUACUGUAUUUCUUUGUCACUAACUCAUGAGGAAAUGAAGUUUAAUUCUCUUCUUGAAUCAACGUGGGUUUCUGACUGCUUCAACUAAUGGAGUAUGGUGGAAGUGACACUGUGUGACUUCUGAGACUGGCUCACAGCCUUAUGAUGAUGCAACUUCCACCCUAUUUACUAGAGCAUUCAUACUUGGAGCUCUGAACCACCAUGUAAGAAGUCCAAAUACCCUGAGAUCACCAUAUUGAAAGGAAGCCCAGCUACAAGGAAAAGCCACAUGUGGGAAUUCUGGUUAGUGGUCUUAGUCCUAAAAUUGGUGCAAACCAAGUGCCACACAGGAGUGAAGGACCCGGCCAAUGAUUCCAGACCGAACCGCUGAGUUAACCCUUUGAGUCUUGCCAGUUGAACUCCCAGGCAUCCUGAAACAGAGACAAGCUAGUCCCCAUGCACCCUAUCCAAAUUCCUAAUCCAUGAUCACAAUAAAAUGGAUGCUGUUUUUUAAAAAAAACUAAAUUUUGAGAUAGUUGUUGUAUUAUAACUAUAGUAACUGGAACAACCUCCUUAGUAAUUGUCCCUUCUCUGGACCCCAUAUCUGCCUGGGAAAAAAAAUCUCCCUCUUGCCUUCAAGUCUCUUCUAAUUCUGAUCAAUCAAUACCCUUUUUUUCUGAUACCCAUGUAGCUUCUGCUAACUAAGUCAACUCAUAAUUCUUUAAGAUUUUAUUAAAAAUAUCUGUUAAAAAGACUUUUUCCCAUUGAAUAUUCAUUCUUCCUUUGUUGAAGAUUAAUUGACCAUA